GACGAACGCUGGCGGCGUGCUUAACACAUGCAAGUCGAACGGAAAGGCCCCUUUGGGGGUACUCGAGUGGCGAACGGGUGAGUAACACGUGAGUAACCUGCCCUUGACUUCGGGAUAACUUCAGGAAACUGGGGCUAAUACCGGAUAGGAAUCCUUGCUGCAUGGUGGGGGUUGGAAAGCUUCGGCGGUUUUGGAUGGACUCGCGGCUUAUCAGCUUGUUGAUGGGGUAGUGGCUUACCAAGGCUUUGACGGGUAGCCGGCCUGAGAGGGCGACCGGCCACAUUGGGACUGAGAUACGGCCCAGACUCCUACGGGAGGCAGCAGUGGGGAAUAUUGCACAAUGGGCGGAAGCCUGAUGCAGCAACGCCGCGUGCGGGAUGACGGCCUUCGGGUUGUAAACCGCUUUCAGCAGGGGCGAAGCUUGUGGUGACGGUACCUGCAGAAGAAGCACCGGCUAACUACGU
rnacentral:rRNA from 1 species